rnacentral:rRNA from 1 species
AAUAAACGCUGGCGGCGUGCCUAACACAUGCAAGUCGAGCGAGAAAGCUCCUUCGGGAGUUAGUAAAGCGGCGAACGGGUGAGCAACACGUGAGAAUCUACCCUUUAGUGAAGAAUACCCUCGAGAAAUCGAGGCUAAUACUGCAUACGUCCCUUCGGGGAGAAAGAUGGCCUCUUUGCUAUCGCUAAAGGAUGAGCUUGCGUACUAUUAGCUAGUUGGCGGGGUAAAGGCCCACCAAGGCAAUGAUGGUUAACCGGCCUGAGAGGGUGUACGGUCACACUGGAACUUAGACACGGUCCAGACUCCUACGGGAGGCAGCAGUGAGGAAUCUUGCGCAAUGGGCGAAAGCCUGACGCAGCGACGCCGCGUGGAGGAUGACGGUUUUCGGAUUGUAACUCCUGUUAAGCGGAGAAAGCCUUGUUUCUAAUACAAGCAAGGUAUGACGGUACCGCUAGAGAAGCACCGGCUAACUUCGUGCCAGCAGCCGCGGUAAGG